rnacentral:rRNA from 1 species
UGGUUGGACGAGGUAAUAACUGUCUUUAUUUAAUUUAUGGUAGAAUUUAACUUUUGAGUUAAAAGGCUCAAAUUUAAUUGAUAGACGAGAAGACCUUAUAGAUCUUUAUUUAUAAAUUUAUAAGUUGUAUUUGGAUUGAUUUCACAGUUUAUGGUUUUAUGAAUUUUAUUGGGGUAAUAUAAAGAUUAAAUUAAUUCUUUGAAUAUUUAAACAAUAAUUAUUGAUAAAUUGAUCCAUUAGUAUUGAUUGUAAGAUUAAGUUAC